GACGGAGGAUGCAAGCGUUAUCCGGAAUUAUUGGGCGUAAAGCGUCCGCAGGUGGCUGUUCAAGUCUGCUGUCAAAGCGCAGAGCUUAACUUCGGAAAGGCAGUGGAAACUGAACAGCUAGAGUAUGGUAGGGGCAGAGGGAAUUCCUGGUGUAGCGGUGAAAUGCGUAGAGAUCAGGAAGAACAUCGGUGGCGAAGGCGCUCUGCUGGACCAUAACUGACACUCAGGGACGAAAGCUAGGGGAGCGAAUGGG
rnacentral:rRNA from 1 species